UUUACUGCGUUGUAGGCCUACUUCAGAUUCCUUUUGUAAGAGUGGUAAUAAUUAUCGCAGGGAAGAAAUGUAAUAGAUUGCAUUUAGAAAGUUUUCUUUUUCUUUUUGGAAUGGAGUUACCAAAGAUCCUUAAAAUACAACCGUAUCUGGAGUUACUGUUCCACGUAGAUCCAGAAGGUGGCGAUAAUAGGACAAUUUGUAGAACAGGCUGACGUCGCAGAAGCCAAGAAGUUCAAGUUGUCCAUGAUGUCUCUGUUCUGUCUUGACAUUCUUGCCAUGAGGCUGACUGUGCAGGGCACACCUGUGGAUGGAGGUCAGAGGUGAGCGACAUAAGGUUGCUUUGGAGGUAUAUCAACACAAACCUUGUUUUUCCAUCCAGCUUUGGUAUGGAAACCCAAUGUUGUGGUCCGUUAAAAUGAACGCCUUCAAGUCAGAUGAGUUUCAAAAGAAUAAUGGCAUGAGCAGCUGGAACAGAAAGGAACAUGGCUUUCUUUUUACAUCACCAAUACUGGAAGUUACAAAAAGUGAAUGUACCAUCAGAUCAAACACAAAAUAACUGAAGAGUGUUGCGGGCAAUGGAAGGAUCUUUACCUGUGAGGGAAAGCGCAACAACAUGAAGAUAGAAGAGAUUUGUCCAGUGAGUUCAGGCAAAUCUGAGAGACCCUCGGAGGUGAGCGGACCCCCACUGAAAAGGAAUCUCAGCUAUGAGGCUGGAGACGUGCUGAAAGCCUCCUGUUAGUGCUCUGCAGAGCCCAGUAUGUAUUUCCAUCCCCACCUUUGGACUUCAUUUAUAUCUGGAGACUUGGUCGGCACACUUUGACUGGCUGCCAGGCUCACCUCAGACUCCACGCCUCCGAGCGAGCGGAGCCAAGUUUAAGCUGGCCAAGGGCCUCAGGUAUGCUGCUGGCCCUGCAGAAUACACCACGUAUUGUGUUGCCCCUCUCUCACCACAUUUUUUUUUUUUUAAAGUUAGCUAUUUGCUUUAAAAAAUGUGAGGCACAAAAACAGACUGUAAUUAAAUUUGUAAUUUUUUCGUCUGGUCUUUAUAACAUAGAUUCAUUCAGGGUCACAGGAACAUUGGCUAUUUGUCAGAGAAGCCACUUAAACCACCACCUCUCGUCUCGGCCUCUCGUCUUUUCUACCUGGUAUCACACACACCUCAUAGCCCCUGAAGCCUGCGCCGUAAGCAAACAUCCUGUACCUUUAUUGGGCUUUUAGUGGCCCUCCUGCAGUCUGACAAUGCAGGAUUAGGGCCGUGGGGGAAACUGAGCAGGGGAGAUGAGAGGGUAUCAAGAGCUAAGAAAGAGUGGAAGCGAGGGGGAGAGAGGGCCCUCCUCCCAUCCCAGCUCCUAGACUGAGGGCCCUCCUCCCAUCCCAGCUCCUAGACUGAGGGCCCUCCUCCCAUCCCAGCUCCUAGACUGAGGGCCCUCCUCCCA